rnacentral:rRNA from 1 species
AGAGUUUGAUCAUGGCUCAGAUUGAACGCUGGCGGCAUGCCUUACACAUGCAAGUCGAACGGUAACGGAUCCUUCGGGAUGCCGACGAGUGGCGAACGGGUGAGUAAUACAUCGGAACGUGCCUGGUAGUGGGGGAUAACUACUCGAAAGAGUGGCUAAUACCGCAUGAGAUCUCAGGAUGAAAGCAGGGGACCCUCGGGCCUUGCGCUAUCAGAGCGGCCGAUGGCAGAUUAGGUAGUUGGUGGGAUAAAAGCUUACCAAGCCGACGAUCUGUAGCUGGUCUGAGAGGACGAUCAGCCACACUGGGACUGAGACACGGCCCAGACUCCUACGGGAGGCAGCAGUGGGGAAUUUUGGACAAUGGGCGCAAGCCUGAUCCAGCAAUGCCGCGUGCAGGAUGAAGGCCUUCGGGUUGUAAACUGCUUUUGUACGGAACGAAAAGCUUCGGGCUAAUACCCUGGAGUCAUGACGGUACCGUAAGAAUAAGCACCGGCUAACUACGUGCCAGCAGCCGCGGUAAUACGUAGGGUGCAAGCGUUAAUCGGAAUUACUGGGCGUAAAGCGUGCGCAGGCGGUUUUGUAAGACAGUGGUG